rnacentral:rRNA from 1 species
GACAGAGGGUGCAAACGUUGUUCGGAUUUACUGGGCGUAAAGCGCGUGUAGGCGGCCCGGUAAGUCCGCUGUGAAAGUCGGGGGCUCAACCCUCGGAUGCCGGUGGAUACUGUCGGGCUAGAGUGCGGAAGAGGCGAGUGGAAUUCCUGGUGUAGCGGUGAAAUGCGCAGAUAUCAGGAGGAACACCAAUUGCGAAGGCAGCUCGCUGGGACGUGACUGACGCUGAGACGCGAAAGCGUGGGGAGCAAACAGG